rnacentral:rRNA from 1 species
CAUGCAGUCGAACGAUGAAGCCCAGCUUGCUGGGUGGAUUAGUGGCGAACGGGUGAGUAACACGUGAGUAACCUGCCCUUGACUCUGGGAUAAGCGUUGGAAACGACGUCUAAUACCGGAUACGAGCUUCCACCGCAUGGUGAGUUGCUGGAAAGAAUUUUGGUCAAGGAUGGACUCGCGGCCUAUCAGCUUGUUGGUGAGGUAACGGCUCACCAAGGCGACGACGGGUAGCCGGCCUGAGAGGGUGACCGGCCACACUGGGACUGAGACACGGCCCAGACUCCUACGGGAGGCAGCAGUGGGGAAUAUUGCACAAUGGGCGAAAGCCUGAUGCAGCAACGCCGCGUGAGGGACGACGGCCUUCGGGUUGUAAACCUCUUUUAGCAGGGAAGAAGCGAAAGUGACGGUACCUGCAGAAAAAGCACCGGCUAACUACGUGCCAGCAGCCGCGGUAAUACGUAGGGUGCAAGCGUUGUCCGGAAUUAUUGGGCGUAAAGAGCUCGUAGGCGGUUUGUCGCGUCUGCUGUGAAAUCCCGAGGCUCAACCUCGGGUCUGCAGUGGGUACGGGCAGACUAGAGUGCGGUAGGGGAGAUUGGAAUUCCUGGUGUAGCGGUGGAAUGCGCAGAUAUCAGGAGGAACACCGAUGGCGAAGGCAGAUCUCUGGGCCGCUACUGACGCUGAGGAGCGAAAGGGUGGGGAG